UACGAAGGGUGCAAGCGUUAUCCGGAUUCAUUGGGUUUAAAGGGUGCGUAGGUGGGGCGUUAAGUCAGUGGUGAAAGCCUACAGCUCAACUGUAGAAUUGCCAUUGAUACUGGCGCUCUUGAGUGCGCUUGAAGUAGGCGGAAUGUGCCGUGUAGCGGUGAAAUGCUUAGAUAUGGCACAGAACACCAAUUGCGAAGGCAGCUUACUAAGGCGAUACUGACACUGAGGCACGAAAGCGUGGGGAUCGAAC
rnacentral:rRNA from 1 species